GUGGAUUAGAUACCCUGGUAGUCCACGCCGUAAACGGUGGGUACUAGGUGUGGGUUUCCUUCCUUGGGAUCCGUGCCGUAGCUAACGCAUUAAGUACCCCGCCUGGGGAGUACGGCCGCAAGGCUAAAACUCAAAGAAAUUGACGGGGGCCCGCACAAGCGGCGGAGCAUGUGGAUUAAUUCGAUGCAACGCGAAGAACCUUACCUGGGUUUGACAUGCACAGGACGCCGGCAGAGAUGUCGGUUCCCUUGUGGCCUGUGUGCAGGUGGUGCAUGGCUGUCGCCAACU
rnacentral:rRNA from 1 species